AUUGAACGCUGGCGGCAGGCCUAACACAUGCGAGUCGAACGGUAACAGGAAGAAGCUUGCUUCUUUGCUGACGAGUGGCGGACGGGUGAGUAAUGUCUGGGAAACUGCCUGAUGGAGGGGGAUAACUACUGGAAACGGUAGCUAAUACCGCAUAACGUCGCAAGACCAAAGAGGGGGACCUCCGGGCCUCUUGCCAUCGGAUGUGCCCAGAUGGGAUUAGCUAGUAGGUGGGGUAACGGCUCACCUAGGCGACGAUCCCUAGCUGGUCUGAGAGGAUGACCAGCCACACUGGAACUGAGACACGGUCCAGACUCCUACGGGAGGCAGCAGUGGGGAAUAUUGCACAAUGGGCGCAAGCCUGAUGCAGCCAUGCCGCGUGUAUGAAGAAGGCCUUCGGGUUGUAAAGUACUUUCAGCGGGGAGGAAGGGAGUAAAGUUAAUACCUUUGCUCAUUGACGUUACCCGCAAAAGAAGCACCGGCUAACUCCGUG
rnacentral:rRNA from 1 species